rnacentral:ncRNA from 1 species
ACAAUGAAGAGUUUGAUCCUGGCUCAGGAUGAACGCUAGCUACAGGCUUAACACAUGCAAGUCGAGGGGCAGCAUCAUCAAAGCUUGCUUUGAUGGAUGGCGACCGGCGCACGGGUGAGUAACACGUAUCCAACCUGCCGACAACACUGGGAUAGCCUUUCGAAAGAAAGAUUAAUACCGGAUGGCAUAAUUAUUCCGCAUGGGAUGAUUAUUAAAGAAUUUCGGUUGUCGAUGGGGAUGCGUUCCAUUAGGCAGUUGGCGGGGUAACGGCCCACCAAACCAACGAUGGAUAGGGGUUCUGAGAGGAAGGUCCCCCACAUUGG